rnacentral:rRNA from 1 species
CUGGGGCUGAAGUAGGUCCCAAGGGUAUGGCUGUUCGCCAUUUAAAGUGGUACGCGAGCUGGGUUUAGAACGUCGUGAGACAGUUCGGUCCCUAUCUGCCGUGGGCGCUGGAGAACUGAGGGGGGCUGCUCCUAGUACGAGAGGACCGGAGUGGACGCAUCACUGGUGUUCGGGUUGUCAUGCCAAUGGCACUGCCCGGUAGCUAAAUGCGGAAGAGAUAAGUGCUGAAAGCAUCUAAGCACGAAACUUGCCCCGAGAUGAGUUCUCCCUGACUCCUUGAGAGUCCUGAAGGAACGUUGAAGACGACGACGUUGAUAGGCCGGGUGUGUAAGCGCAGCGAUGCGUUGAGCUAACCGGUACUAAUGAACCGUGAGGCUUAACCUU